rnacentral:rRNA from 1 species
CAGCCGCCGCGGUAAUACGUAGGGUGCAAGCGUUAAUCGGAAUUACUGGGCGUAAAGCGUGCGCAGGCGGUGUUGUAAGACUGAUGUGAAAUCCCCGGGCUCAACCUGGGAACUGCAUUGGUGACUGCAACGCUGGAGUGCGGCAGAGGGGGAUGGAAUUCCGCGUGUAGCAGUGAAAUGCGUAGAUAUGCGGAGGAACACCGAUGGCGAAGGCAAUCCCCUGGGCCUGCACUGACGCUCAUGCACGAAAGCGUGGGGAGCAAACAGGAUUAGAUACCCCCGUAGUCCCUGUCUCUUAUAA